CUUUUUUUUCGCUUGCUUUGUUUCUCUGAGCAAUAUGCUUUCAAAAUGUGAUGGCACUGGACAGCGCGUGAUUUGAUGUUUUCUUUUCUCCUGAGGCAGCGGUCUAAACUGAAAACCUGUGGCUUAACUAAUUACCAGAUAGUUGGGUUUAAAACUGUCCUGAAAUGGGAGGUGUGAAGUUGUACAGAAUACACCUGACUACAAGCCCAAGUGACCCAUGAACAUCACAAAUGCAGACCAAAUGCAGAUGGGUGGAAGCGUAUCCUUUCAGAAAUGCAGAUGUGGUCACAGGAAGAGCGGGGGCUUGGACUAGGAACCUUCCAGGAAAGAUGGCUGAGGUGCAAGAGGUACCACUAACUGUGGAAUCAUUAAAUCCUGACAUCCAACCAGGUGAUCAAGUACUGGUUAAAAGAUUUAACCAAAAGGCAUUGAUGCCCAGAUGGGAAGGACUAUAUGAUGUCUGCUAAUGCCACCAACUGCAAUUAAAAGAAAAAGAAAAAUUAAGUGGAUACAUUUGAGUCAUUAUGAAAAGUGGCCAUCGUGAAGGUCAGUGGGAGCUGGCUCCCCUACUCAGAUGACUCCAAUCCUAGACUGCAAUCUUCGCAGAGAUGUUCCAUUUAGCUAUCAACAUUGUGAUGCCAUAAGAGAGAAACUGCCAAUGCACCAGAUAUCGAUGGAAAGCUCAAGGGUCGAGAAUGUCUGAGACACCAGGAGGCACCCAAAGGGAUACUCAUCAUUAUACAUUCUAUUGAUGACUGAUGUACAGUGUGGACAAAUAGGGCAGGGAGGUAGGGUUUUACCCACUACUGUCAUUACAUAAUUACAGGCCAAGACCUGCAUAAAGAACCAGCCAAUAAUGCAGUUAGAAAUUA